GACGAACGCUGGCGGCGUGCUUAACACAUGCAAGUCGAACGGAAAGGCCCUGCUUUUGUGGGGUGCUCGAGUGGCGAACGGGUGAGUAACACGUGAGUAACCUGCCCUUGACUUUGGGAUAACUUCCGGAAACUGGGGCUAAUACCGGAUAGGAGCUCCUGCUGCAUGGUGGGGGUUGGAAAGUUUCGGCGGUUGGGGAUGGACUCGCGGGUUAUCAGCUUGUUGGUGGGGUAGUGGCUUACCAAGGCUUUGACGGGUAGCCGGCCUGAGAGGGUGACCGGCCACAUUGGGACUGAGAUACGGCCCAGACUCCUACGGGAGGCAGCAGUGGGGAAUAUUGCACAAUGGGCGGAAGCCUGAUGCAGCGACGCCGCGUGCGGGAUGACGGCCUUCGGGUUGUAAACCGCUUUCGCCUGUGACGAAGCGUGAGUGACGGUAACGGGUAAAGAAGCACCGGCUAACUACGUG
rnacentral:rRNA from 1 species